ACUCCUACGGGAGGCAGCAGUGGGGAAUAUUGCACAAUGGGCGCAAGCCUGAUGCAGCCAUGCCGCGUGUAUGAAGAAGGCCUUCGGGUUGUAAAGUACUUUCAGCGGGGAGGAAGGCGAUAAGGUUAAUAACCUUGUUGAUUGACGUUACCCGCAGAAGAAGCACCGGCUAACUCCGUGCCAGCAGCCGCGGUAAUACGGAGGGUGCAAGCGUUAAUCGGAAUUACUGGGCGUAAAGCGCACGCAGGCGGUCUGUCAAGUCGGAUGUGAAAUCCCCGGGCUCAACCUGGGAACUGCAUUCGAAACUGGCAGGCUAGAGUCUUGUAGAGGGGGGUAGAAUUCCAGGUGUAGCGGUGAAAUGCGUAGAGAUCUGGAGGAAUACCGGUGGCGAAGGCGGCCCCCUGGACAAAGACUGACGCUCAGGUGCGAGAGCGUGGGGAGCAAACAGGAUUAGAUACCCCAGUAGUCCCAUGAU
rnacentral:rRNA from 1 species